rnacentral:snoRNA from 1 species
CCGCACAGGGAACACCCAAGUGUGCUCUGUAGCUCCCUUGGUUCAUAUCCUGUGCUAAAUUGAUGUCUGUUCUUUUACCUCUGCGUUUGGGAUGAGUUUUUUUUAUUCUCCUGCACGUAUUCAGAAGCACAGUACAUUG